UUAAAUCAGUUAUCGUUUAUUUGAUAGUACCUUACUACUUGGAUAACCGUGGUAAUUCUAGAGCUAAUACAUGCUAAAACCCCCCCGGGGGUGUAUUUAUUAGAUUAAAAACCAAUGCCCGUCAGGGCUCCUUGGUGAUUCAUAAUAACUUUUCGAAUCGCAUGGCCUUGCGCCGGCGAUGGUUCAUUCAAAUUUCUGCCCUAUCAACUUUCGAUGGCAGGGUCUUGGCCUGCCAUGGUUAUAACGGGUAACGGAGGGUUAGGGCUCGACCCCGGAGAAGGAGCCUGAGAAACGGCUACUACAUCCAAGGAAGGCAGCAGGCGCGCAAAUUACCCAAUCCCGACCCGGGGAGGUAGUGACAAUAAAUACUGAUACAGGGCUCUUUUGAGUCUUGUAAUUGGAAUGAGUACAAUUCAAAUCCCUUAACGAGGAACAAUUGGAGGGCAAGUCUGGUGCCAGCAGCCGCGGUAAUUCCAGCUCCAAUAGCGUAUAUUAAAGUUGUUGCAGUUAAAAAGCUCGUAGUUGAACCUUGGGCCUGGCUGGCCGGUCCGCCUCACCGCGUGCACUGGAACUGCCGGGUCUUUCCCUCUGGGGAUCCCCAUGCUCUUUACUGAGUGUGGCGGGGAACCAGGACCUUUACUGUGAAAAAAUUAGAGUGUUCAAAGCAGGCCUAUGCUCGAAUACAUUAGCAUGGAAUAAUAGAAUAGGACGCGUGGUUCUAUUUUGUUGGUUUCUAGGACCGCCGUAAUGAUUAAUAGGGACAGUCGGGGGCAUCAGUAUUCAAUUGUCAGAGGUGAAAUUCUUGGAUUUAUUGAAGACUAACUACUGCGAAAGCAUUUGCCAAGGAUGUUUUCAUUAAUCAGGAACGAAAGUUAGGGGAUCGAAGACGAUCAGAUACCGUCGUAGUCUUAACCAUAAACUAUGCCGACUAGGGAUCGGACGAUGAUAUUUGUG
rnacentral:rRNA from 1 species